AAGCAGGACUCCACAUGGCCUAACCUGCAUUCACUAGCAGCUUCUGCCGCUCUAGGCCACUUCCCCUCUAGGAAAAAGCCGUCACCCUAAGGAGUUUUCAGGAGCACUGGUCAGAUUCUGGUCCUUUUCCUUCCCUCAUUUCUGACUCUAGCAGGCAGAACUGGGCUGGGCAUCAAGACUGUUCAAUCAUUGCUUAAGAUGAAUCCUUGUGACAGAAUCAAUUCCUCACUGAGAGCUGGUGGAACCUCAAGAGACCAACUCACAGAGGUCACAGAGGCAGGAGGCAGCAGACGGUGACUGCGCAGGGCCAUUGGCAGCAGAGCGGUGGAGUGAACGGUGGCACAACAAACAACAGUGGCCAGAGCGAACAGUGAGCAGCUAGAGCAACAAGCAAGGUGCCUUCUUGCCCCCCACCUGGGAGGUGAACUCAUGGGAAAGCACCUCUGAACUCUGAGUCUCCACUGACCAACAACAGCACUGGUCAAAGUGAAAAUGAAAAGACAAAAAACAAUACAACAAUUUUUUCACUCAAAGGCCUCAAAAACUAACCAAGGUGAAGAACACAUCAAGAACCAAGAAUAUAUCAACAUGUCAUCUGAAGGUUCAAGUGGUGUAUCUACAUCCGAAGCACAAAUACAGCUACCUACUGAAGAAACAGUGUCUGUCUCCAAAACCUAAAGGCAGUUCCCGAGGUUUGUCGGUCAGAGUGUUCCCAUUUAUUGAAGUUACAAAAGAUGGCUACUGGUGCAUCUCUUGCAAAAAAGCUUACGAAGAAGGAAAGCUCCCCAAUGCUAUAACUGGUAAAAGUGGAGAAGCUUGGUUUGUCAGAAUGAUCAGCAAAGACAAUGCUGACAAACUACAUGAAAAGGCAGCAAAACAUCAGGCCUCUGGAGUGCAUCAACAUGCAGAAAGCCUUAUAAGCCCACUUUCCAAGCCCAUUUUAGAAGUACUUAAUGAGGCUGUUAAGAAUGCUUGAGACACAACACAGUUCAUGCAAACAAACAUGGCUGUGGCAUCCUACUUUCUAUUUAAGCAAGAGAUACCACACACUACAAACUGAAGGCCAAUGUUAAGUGCAUUGUCACUUGUUCAUCCUGUAGUUGAACACUGGUUCCGAACAAGACCAGCAAAUGCUCACUAUCUUUCUGCAAGAAACUCAACUGCCUGGCUAGAAGCAUGCGGUGCAACAGUGAAAGACUCACAGUUGAAAAAGUGAAGAACUCUUUCACCACAUUCAAAAAAAUUGCAUACAUGGCUGAUGAAUGCACCAAUGCAAAUGGGCAUCAAGUCAUUGUGUACGUUAUCUUGAUGUCAGUGGUAGGCCAGUAGCUGCAGAGUCUUCAAAAGACAUUUAAAAAGCUAUAAAUUUAAUAUCUUCAUUAUAUUCUUUUUUUCAGCAAGAGUCCAAAAACACUGAAUAUCUUGGAAAAUAUAGAAGAUACACUGGGACUGAAGUUCAUAUUAGUCCAACCUGGGAAAACCCUCUGGCUUUCUCAUGAGUGAUCCUUGGCUGUUGUCUUAAAAUUACUCCAGCCGUUGUUACUGGCUUUGGAAAGUAUCUACCAAGAUGGGAUGGAUCUAAGUAGUGAGGCUGGUGGAUUACUUUUACUACUACGUUCAGAGAAGACUAUUGCCAUUCUCUCUCUCGUAAGUCUACUGUUGAAACCACUUGGGUCAUUAAACAAUGCCAUCUAAGCAUCUACUACAACAGUAGUUGAUCUUUGUCCAGCAAUAGAAGCUACAUUUGGAUCAAUCGGAGAGCUAUCCAUUGAAAAAGUACUGGAAGAAGCAAAGACUUCAGUCCAGAAAUUGACUAAUGAAGGCAUUUAUAUUGAAUCCUUAAGUGAAGAGAACAAGAAGUGUUUGUUAAGACAACUGAAAAAGUACACAGACUUGAUUCUUAAAAAAUCUACAACAGCGACUUCUAGAUUCUACUCAACCACUAUGUAGCUUUUACAGAUCCCUGUCCUAUAAAACACCAACAGUUGAGUGGAGUGAGGCACUACCAGCAAUGGGGCUGCCAUGUGAUCAGGACACAAUAGAGAAUUUGAACACGGAGUGGAAUAUCAUACGACGAAUAAAUGAAGAUUUGACUUCAACUGCUUUUUUAUCACCACUAGUGGCUCGACCCGAUCUUUGUGCUCUCUUUCCUGGGAUGAAAGAAGUAGGAAUUCAUCUCUUGCUACUCCCAGUCACAACAGCGACAGUUGAGCGUUCUUUUUCAUCAUGUAAUAGAAUUUUGUGUUCUGAAAGAAGUAGCCUUCUGCCUGAUCAUGUGAAUGAACUAAUGAGCAUAUCAAUUGAAGGAUGGAAGUACCGGACACACAAGAAGCCACCAAAGAUGAACGCAUUGCAUUCAAGAAGUUCAUUAACAAAGUUGUGCAAAAUUAUAACAAGAAACCAAGAAGGAUGUAGACUUAGUGCUUCAUAGAAGGCUUGAGUAGCCAACUUUAAUUUGUGUGAUGAUUUUAAAACAUGAGUUAAAUCUAAUAAAAU